GGGCCCGCACAAGCGGUGGAGUAUGUGGUUUAAUUCGAUGCAACGCGAGAACCUUACCAGGGUUUGACAUCCUGCGAACUUUUGGAAACGAGAGAGUGCCUUCGGGAACGCAGUGACAGGUGGUGCAUGGCUGUCGUCAGCUCGUGUCGUGAGAUGUUGGUUAAGUCCCGCAACGAGCGCAACCCACGUCUUUAGUUGCCAGCAUUUAGUUGGGCACUCUAGAGAGACUGCCGGUGAUAAACCGGAGGAAGGUGUGGAUGACGUCAAGUCAUCAUGCCCCUUACAUCCUGGGCUACACACGUACUACAAUGCUACGGACAAAGGGCAGCAAGUUCGCGAGGAC
rnacentral:rRNA from 1 species